rnacentral:lncRNA from 1 species
CCUCCAGUAAAUUUCCCCUCUCGGCCUCGACCGCCCGCCCAAAAUCCACGCCCGUGCUAGGGCUUGGCCCUCCGGCACCGGUUUCGUCGUCAGCGCAUCUCCGGCGGUCUCCGAUGGCUCUUCUCCAUCGUCUAUCGCGCGCCCUUGAUUCCUGAUGGUCCACCUUGAGAAAGGCGACAUGGAGGACCUCCUCUUGCAGGAUCCACGGACGCGGCGCAUCCUGCAGCCGCCGAUCCGAGAUGAGGGCGGGCAUGGCGGCCUUGUCCUGCUCGACGGCAGUGGCGGCAAACACCGGUGCUCCUCCUUGUCAUCAACCUCCAAGGAGGAGCGCCCGUACAGCACAAGCACGCCCCUGUACCCCCUUCUCCCAUCCAGCGGUGUACAGGACGUCCUCCUCCCCAACAGGCUGUCUUUGCUGGAUUAGGUGGAGCAGCAAGUCCAGCACCCUCUUGGCCCCAACCUCAUAUCCUCUAGUGUGGCUCACCGACGGCUGCGUCCUCCGCUCCUAGCGUGGUGAGCUUCUCACCUCUCCCCCAUUUAAUUACCCCAAAAUCUGAUGAUACUUGCAAUCUGAAAUUCUGAAUACAAAUUGUGUUUUUGUUCUGACUCUUGCAAUGUUACGCAUAUUAUAAUCACGGCAAACUAAUGUUCUUCCACAUAAUAUGAUAUGGUUAUUUUUUCUAACAUGCACUGUACUUCAUGUUGCUUUGGCACUGAUCUUUUGGGACUUAAUUUGUAAGCUUCAGCUUGUUAGAUAUAAAUUCAGCUAUGAUUCUGUAUUUUGCCAGAAUGGACUUGUUUUACAGAUGCGUGUAUGUAGUACCUCAGAGCAAAUCUAAUUAUUAACUGAAACACUCUAAUUAUUAACUGAAAAUAGCAAUAAAUUUGGAUCUCAUAAGAAACGCAUAAAUAUCAAGAAACCACACGCACUGUCAGAAUGUUCAAGUUGUUUAUGUGGAUUAUGUAUCAUUCUAAGUAUUCAUAUAUAUAUAUAUAUAUAUAUAUAUAUAUAUAUAUAUAUAUAUAUAUAUAUAUAUAUAUAUAUACUAGUAUACAUGUACGUGCGAAUGCACGCAUUGGCUUCCCUCGCGUGAUUGGUGCAUUGCACAACAUCCAACUCAAAACUCCGUCCCAAAUCCUUCUGCCAUGACGCGAUUAGCGUGUGCGCUACCGAUGCUUAUGGAUCGAUUGCCAAGGCGGCUGAGACAGCCAGCUACAUGCGCGAAUGGACGACAUCAGCAACAAGCAUGUGGAUUUUUCCAGCAUUGACAUAUGUGGAUGGUUCUAGAGAACAACAGUAGCUUGGCUGGUACUAAUUAUCUAUGGAUGGUUCCGGAGAACAACAGUAGCUACGCUGGUACUGUAGGUAGAACUGUAGCAGCGAAUCCGAGCAUUUCCAACCAUUGGAUGGACCCUAUCAAUGGUUCAGGUUGCUUCCUGGUCAUGAGAUUCAAAAUUUCAAAACUGGUACACUAUAUAGUAGUGUGUAUGUGUGUGUAUAUAUAUAUAUGUGGUGUCGUAUCCAUCUGUUAGUCUGUUCGAUUUUGUGGAUAUAUACAUACUAGAAGUAAAAUAAUGUAUGUGGAUUUGAAGUAAGUUUUGACAUGUUUAACUUGCAUGGAUAUAAAAAUUGUAGUUAGCCGCGUCCGUCGUUAUGUUGAUGUUACAAGUACCAGCAAGUUGUAGGGCCCUGCUUAGCGAAGCCGCAACUCACACAUCAUAUCGUUUUUUCAUUGUCUUUUCUGAUCAGUUCAUGUGUUGAGAGUUGCAAAAUUGGAAUUAAUCUUCUCUGACAUAAUGCUGAAAAAGCCCUUUAAAUGCUACAGGAAUAGCUUCAGAGUUGACAAUAAUCUUUAGCCUGGUGAGAUAAGGUAGAAGUAGGGCAAACCUGAUGUUUAGCCUGGUGCAUGAAGAAAAAGAUCCUGAUAUAUGAUAAAUCAUUCAUAUAUGUAGGUCUGACUGUCUUAAAAAUAUAUGUAGGUCACUGUAAUAGUAUUUUCUUAUUUAAAAGGGAGAAAAAGUACUACUUGAUAAGUAUCCUAGAACUACCAAAUUGCUAAGCGUUUCAAUAAAAUACAAGUCUGAAUUGCUAAUUGUUGAUUUCUUUUAUACAUUUCAAAUCAAUGUUGUUGGAAAAACUAGAAUCAUGCGCAAAUACCAAGUUACCAUGUUUUUUAGUCUGUGCAUUGAUUAUGUUUUAAAGUUUGUUUUGUACGCCCUGGGUGUAUGGUCAGUUUAACAAUUAUUUGUUGGACAAAAUCUAACAAUUGUUGUUUAGUAACUGCCUGUUCGGAAGCUCUCCGGACUCUCAACUCCGCUCCGCGUGAGGAGCUGUGUUUGAGCCGCUCCGCACGAUUGUGCUGGCGCUCCCUCUGCUCCGGGAGCUGCAGUUGGGGAGCGGACGGGAUCCGAACAGGGCCUAAAACACAUGAAAAAACUAAAAAGUUUUUUUUAGAUUCAGAGUAGUAAAGCUACUCUGCUGAAACCACAAAUUCAGAGAUCAUAAGCGGGCGGAGGCAGUCCGGUACGUCCGCAAUCCUCUGCUGGUCUUCCGAAUUCCUGGCCAACGUUGCAAGCCCAUGAGCAAGGGCAUUGCACAAUCUCCCCAUGCUGUUGUGCUCUCUUGAUGUCUCUUAGCAGUCCAUAGCAGGGGAAGAGGGACUGGUUCCCUGUCAUCAGUUCCUUAAUCAGAGUUUGGCAGUCAAGUUCCAAAAUCACGGCGCCCCUGUAGAUCCUCGACAGUGCAUGCAACCCAAUAAGGGCUGCUUUUGCUUCGGCCUCCUCAGCACUACGGCUAGGUGACGUAUUCUGACUGAUAGAAACACCAGGCAUCAGAAUUUAGUUUGAUUGAUCCCAUGGCCGGCCCUGCCCAAUGCAAGUGCUGCGUAAUGGGGCAGCGGGGCUGCUGCGCCACAAUGGCCCCCGCACCUUUUCCUGCUUCAGGAUCACCACUCAAUUGCCGCUGAUUUAAACUCUUCAGAAUACCUCAGCAGGAACUGCACAGAUCCCAUAAUCGAUUCUUUGCCCACAUUGCGAAUGCAGUCCUCGCGCAAGUGCCAGCAUCUCCACAAAAGGAGCAGAAUAUUAGCGCGAGUGUCCACAGGUUCAGUGUCAAGGAGCACCUGAAGCCAAUCCCUCCCAGUGUACCUAAAGUCUCUCUCAUCAGGGAGCGACCAUUCUUUCCUCAUAGCUGUUCUGAGUGCUCUACUCUUUGUGUAGGCAAGAACCGCAUGGUACUCAUCCUCUUCGCCGUUGUUGCAAAUAUUACAGAUGGCAUCCAGCUCAAUAGUCCUUCUAAACUUGUUUCUCUUUGUUGCCAGAGUAUUAGUAGCGACCCUCCAUCCAAAAAUCCGGACUUUUUGUGGUACCUUAGCUUUCCAAAUCAGAUCCCAGAUAGAUCGAUCAUCUAAAAAGUUUUCUAUCUUCAUUCAAAAGAAUUUGUUAUUUUGGACAACUAUUAGAUCGUUAAUUUCUGUCAAAGAUUUGGUAGGUGACACUAUAUUGUUCAGGCUCGGACUAAUGUUACAGCAUGUAUAUGUAACGUGUGUUUUUCACUCAGAUUAAUGUCUAACAAUUGUUGUUUAAUAAAACACAUGAAAAACUAAAGAGUUUUCUAUCGUCAUUCAAAAGAAUUUCUGAAAUUGGACAACCAUUAGAUCAUUAAUUUCUUUGUCAAAGAUUGGUAGGUGACACUAUUUUGUUCAGGCUCGGACGAAUGUUACAGCAUGUAUAUGUAACAUGUUUUUUCCACUCAGAUUAAUGUGUAUUCAGGCUGUCAUCUCUUUUGCCCAUCUUUUAGGCUAGGCUAGGAUGUAGUAAUAAAAGCUUCUUAUGGUCAAUUGUAUGACUGUUUCCUUGGAUAUGAUCUAAAUAGUUGUGCCCUUCCAAGUUAAUUCAUAAGUCAUAACAUACUGCAGUGUGAUACUAGACAAUAUUUGUUGUAUCUAUAGUCAGUCUCUACAAUUAUGUUGUUAAUAUACAUAAAGAACUGACUUCUAUUUGAUCCAAUCCUUUAUUACAAGUAAUAUUUUACAAAUGUAUUUUCAGCUAGAUUAAUUGUAAGCCAUAUAGAUCUGUUUCCUAUGGAAUAUCGUAUCAGAUAGGACACAUUCUGUUAAGACAAUCAUCAUGGAAUUGGUAACGUGUAGCAAGUUACUUCUAGUUCAACCUACUGGCUAUAAUAUUUUAUACCUGACAUGUUUUUCAUCAUGUGGCAGAUAUUGGUUUUUGGGAGCAUUUUCAACAACAAGACGUGGUUGAUGACUUAGGCAUGGACGUUCGGAUCUGUUGCCGGAAAUGCCAGAUGACCCCGUGUUGAUGUUUGAUGGUUAAUGCCUGAUGAGAGCGGGGCCUUGUUUGAUGGGGGAGGCGCUGGCAUAGUGUCCUCUGAGACAUACUUGUAAAAUUAACAUUUUUUGGGGCGCUGGCAUAGUGUUCUCGACAUGCUUGUAAAAUUAAUGUUUUUUUGGAUCUUCUAUUUUUGCUCCUGUACAUGUGUAAUUUAAGAUGUGUUUAUGUAAUUUUCUUUCUUUUAUUGACAUGAGCAUAUAUUUGAGUCAAAUUCUUGAAUUUUCAUGUGCCAAAAGAAACAAGUGAUAGUAGUGAUCCAUACUAGAAAUUAAUGGGCUUAAAUUCUAAUUGUGUUGAUU